UCUGGUGAUCCUGGCGUGAUGGUCCCACCCGUUCCCAUCUCGAACACGGAAGUGAAACGUCACAGCUCCGAUGGUAGUGCUUGUAUAGCUUGCGCGAGAGUAGGUCGUUGCCAGAG
rfam:Terrimicrobium sacchariphilum DNA, scaffold: TSACC_2, strain: NM-5.